CUAGGGUUUCUCCCUUCCGCAGAUACCCUAGCUCUAUAAAUACGACGAGAGAGCCCUCGCCGCCACCACCACACCCGGUUCGCCGACUCCCCAAUUCCGCCGCCGCCAUCGUCGUGUGGAGGUACUGAGAGCGAGAGCGUCGACGCCCGGGCCGCUGCCAUGAGGGCCAAGUGGAAGAAGAAGAGAAUGAGGAGGCUCAAGAGGAAGCGCCGAAAGAUGAGGCAGAGAUCCAAGUAGUUGCAUUGUCCUUAGGGGUGGAUGCCUUCUUACAUCAUGCUGUCUGGUGCAUUGAGAUGAUGGUGUCUUCUGAUUCUUGAUGCGUUCUGGCUGUAGGUGUGGGAAGCCCGCCUCUUUUGGUUUUUGUUAAUUUUAGUUGCUGAAACGUCUGGUUAUGUUCCUAGACUGAAGUAUUAUGUAAUGUGAUGACAGUGUUUUGCUUUAUGAAAGUUUAUGAUAUUUUAAUUACUCUUGUUCUC